AGAAUCAACGCUGGCGGCGUGCCUAACACAUGCAAGUCGAACGCGACUGGGGGCUUCGGCUCCCAGUUGAGUGGCGAACGGGUGAGUAACACGUGGGUGAUCUACCUUCGAGCGGGGGAUAACGUUCCGAAAGGACGCUAAUACCGCAUGACGUUCUGGGUUUAAAGACCUGGAAACCAAAGCCGGGGACCGCAAGGCCUGGCACUUGAAGAGGAGCCCGCGUCCGAUUAGCUAGUUGGCGGGGUAACGGCCCACCAAGGCGACGAUCGGUA
rnacentral:rRNA from 1 species